GACGAACGCUGGCGGCGUGCUUAACACAUGCAAGUCGAGCGGUAAGGCCCUUCGGGGUACACGAGCGGCGAACGGGUGAGUAACACGUGGGUAAUCUGCCCUGCACUCUGGGAUAAGCCCGGGAAACUGGGUCUAAUACCGGAUACGACUUACAGUCGCAUGACUGUGGGUGGAAAGUUCCGGCGGUGCAGGAUGAACCCGCGGCCUAUCAGCUUGUUGGUGGGGUAAUGGCCUACCAAGGCGACGACGGGUAGCCGGCCUGAGAGGGCGACCGGCCACACUGGGACUGAGACACGGCCCAGACUCCUACGGGAGGCAGCAGUGGGGAAUAUUGCGCAAUGGGCGAAAGCCUGACGCAGCGACGCCGCGUGAGGGAUGACGGCCUUCGGGUUGUAAACCUCUUUCGCCAGGGACGAAGAGCAAUUGACGGUACCUGGAGAAGAAGCACCGGCUAACUACGUGCCAGCAGCCGCCGUAAAA
rnacentral:rRNA from 1 species